AUGGAAGUGUUUGAAGAAAAAAAAAAACAGUGUUUGAACGGAACAGAUCCCGGGGACUUUCUUCCAGCCUCCAACCGCGCUCUGAUUUCCUAUCCACUUGGAACCUCCGGGACCAUCUUCUCUCCAUCUCCUGCUUCUGGUGACCCGCUAUUACCAUUUUUGUGGUUAGCUCCUUUUUGCCGACGAACCAUGAGCUCCCAUUCGUCAGAAUUACUCCACUAACGUGGAGGCAGCCGUCAGCCGCCUGGUCAAUGUGUACCUGCAGGCCUCCUACACCUACCUCUCUCUGGGCUAUUUCGACCAUGAUGAUGUGGCUCUGGAAGGCGUGAGACACUUCCGCGAAUUGGCCAAGGAGAAACGCAAGGGCUAUGAGCAUCUCCUGAAGAGGCAAAACCAGCCGCGCCGUCCUCCAGGACAUCAAGAAUGCGGCUCAAGAUGAGUGGGGUAAAAUCCUGGACACUAUGAAAGCCGCCAUGGCCCUGGAGAAAAGUCUGAACCAGGCCCUUUUGGAUCUUCAUGCCCUGGGUUCUGCCCCCGCGGACCCCCAUCUCUGUGACCCCCUGGAGAGUCACUUCCUAGAUGAAGAAGUGAAAAUCAUCCAGAAGAUGGGUGACCACCUGACCAACCUCUGCAGGCUGGCUGACCCAGAGGCUGGGCUGGGCGAGUAUCUCUUCCAAAGGCUCACUCUCAAGCAAGUCUAAGAGCCUACUGAGCCCAGCGACUUCUAAAGGGCCCUUACAAAAUAACAGGGCUUCUGCCUAAGCCUCUCCCUCCAGCCAUUAGGCAGCUUUCUAACUACCCUAACAAGUCUUGGACCAAAUGGAAAUAAAGCUAUUUGAAGCAAAAAAA